rnacentral:rRNA from 1 species
GCACAACGCGAAGAACCUUACCAAGUCUUGACAUCCCAUUGACCAGCAGAGUAAUGUCUGCCUCCCUUCGGGGCAAUGGAGACAGGUGGUGCAUGGUUGUCGUCGGCUCGUGUCGUGAGAUGUUGGGCUAAGUCCCGCAACGAGCGCAACCCUUGCCAUUAGUUGCUACGAAAGGGCACUCUAAUGGGACUGCCGGUGACAAACCGGAGGAAGGUGGGGAUGACGUCAAAUCAUCAUGCCCCUUAUGACCUGGGCUACACACGUGCUACAAUGGCCGGGUACAAAGGGCAGCGAAGCCGCGAGGCGGAGCCAAUCCCAAAAAGCCGGUCUCAGUUCGGAUUGUAGGCUGCAACUCGCCUGCAUGAAGUCGGAAUUGCUAGUAAUCGCGGAUCAGCAUGCCGCGGUGAAUACGUUCCCGGGUCUUGUACACACCG